AGGUUAAGCUGAUAAGGGCGCAGGGAGGAUGCCUUGGCACUAAGAGCCGAAGAAGGACGUGAUAAGCUG
rnacentral:rRNA from 1 species